GAGUUUGAUCAUGGCUCAGAUUGAACGCUGGCGGCAUGCCUUACACAUGCAAGUCGAACGGCAGCACGGGAGCUUGCUCCUGGUGGCGAGUGGCGAACGGGUGAGUAAUGCAUCGGAACGUAUCCUGGAGUGGGGGAUAACGUAGCGAAAGUUACGCUAAUACCGCAUAUUCUGUGAGCAGGAAAGCGGGGGACCUUCGGGCCUCGCGCUCUUGGAGCGGCCGAUGUCGGAUUAGCUAGUUGGUGAGGUAAAGGCUCACCAAGGCGACGAUCCGUAGCAGGUCUGAGAGGAUGAUCUGCCACACUGGAACUGAGACACGGUCCAGACUCCUACGGAGGCAGCAGUGGGGAAUUUGGACAAGUGGGGGCAACCCUGAUCCAGCCAUGCCGCGUGAGUGAAGAAGGCCUCGGUGUAAGUAC
rnacentral:rRNA from 1 species